GGGGGCGUGCGCAUCGUCGGUGCCUCCUGAGAGGUGAAGCCAGCCAGGCAGGGGUGAUGCGGGGCAGCGUUGCGAGAGAGGGCAAGUCUCUGGAGUCCAGAGAAGGAGGACCAGGAGGACGCAGGAACAUUCCAGGCCUGGCCCCAGCACCGACCCGACCUGUUCCGCAAGGUCUCUGCUGGAAUGUUCUCUCUCUGGAAGGGCCUCCAGGAGCCCCCCACUCCAGGGGGCUCACUGAAAUUCUCCAGCAAGAUAGCCUGUUUAUUUUCUUCUUGGUGCUUAUGAAACUCUUUGAUGUUUGUUCACGUGGAAUUUUUCUGACUCUUCUCUGGAAAAUCAGCUCCACAAGGGUGAGAGCCUCCUCUGUUCUGUUCAAGUGCUGUCUCCUUGCAUAUGUUAAUAUUAAAUAACAUUAAGACAGCCACAUGUGGACAGCAGGAACCUAUGGGAUAGAUCAGAUAUAAAAUGUUUCUAUCACGGCAGAAAGUUCUAUUGGGCAGCGCUGAUUUGCCUCAGAUUCUUGAAUGAAGCAAUGACUCAACAAGUGACCCCAGCGUCCCUACAACUCAUGCUCACCUGCUGGGUUGAGAUUAGGCUCUGGGCUGCGGACCCCAGGAGGUUUUCUAGGGCUAAAUUUAACCAAGUUCGAAAAUGACACACUGCUCUUCACAGCAAAUGGAGAACUGAAUAUAUUGCCUUAUGUUUAAGGUGGCUCUGGACAGGAUUGAUUCCCAUGUCACAAUGAGAGGCGAAGCCAGCUGGACUUCCUGGGUAAUGUGGGGACUUGGAGAACUUUUCUGUCUUACAAGUGGUUUGUAAAAUGCACCGAUCAGGCCAGGCAUGGUGGCUCAUGCCUGUAAUCCCAACACUUUGGGAGGCUGAGGCGGGUGGAUCACGAGGUCAGGAGAUCGAGACCAUCCUGGCUAACAUGGUGAAACCCUGUCUCACUAAAAAUACAAAAAAUUAGCCGGGCUUGGUGACGGGCGCCUGUAGUCCCAGCUACUCGGGAGGCUGAGGCAGGAGAAUGGCGUGAACCUGGGAGGCGGAGCUUGCAGUGAGCAGAGAUGACACCACUGCACUCCAGCCUGGGUGACACAGCAAGGCUGUCUC
rnacentral:lncRNA from 10 species